GUUCUCAACUGAAGCAGCCGCCCCUCUCUCUUCCUCCCAAAUCUCACGGCCGUUGCUUCUCAAAAUCCGGCGACAGAUCCGCCUCCGCGGCCCUAAACUCCGGUGCCGCCUCUCACCUCCGAUCUAUUUCUUCCCUUGUUGCAAACUCAGGUGGAAAUCUUCUCCUAAACAGAGCCCUCUCUCUCUCUCUCUCUCUCGCGAUCUCAUUCUCCGUCUGUAAGAGAACCGCAGCCACUGUCGAGGGGCCGGCGAGGACCGGCGAUUGGCCGCCGUUCCAUACCCUCUCCCUCCGCCCCUCUUUCCUCUUCAAAUUUUCUUCUCCUCUCUGAAUUUCUCGAGCAGCCCACAACAUAAAGCCCUAAAUUUCUUCUUCUAUCAAAUGAUUCGCCACUGCUGCCACAUUUUCUGAGGUCCGGCGAGGCCGCAGACGUCGCUCUGUUGCCGUGGUCCGGUGAGGCAGCAAGAGCUCGCCCUCGGUACUCGUCGGGGUCCUCGUUGGGCUCGUGUAUAGAUCUGGGGGAAACUUGGACUAAAGCUUUGAUUUUGCUUGUUGUGUUGAGUCAGGAAGGGUCACAGCGUGGCUUCGCUGCGGUCUCC
rnacentral:lncRNA from 1 species